AUUGAACGCUGGCGGCAGGCCUAACACAUGCAAGUCGAACGAUUGGCGGACGGGUGAGUAAUGUCUGGGAAACUGCCCGAUGGAGGGGGAUAACUACUGGAAACGGUAGCUAAUACCUCAUAACAUCGGAUGUGGCCAGAUGGGAUUAGUUAGUAGUUGGGGUAACGGCGAACCUAGGCGACGAACCCUAGCUGGUCUGAGAGGGUGACCAGCCACACGAGAACCAGGAGACGGUCCAGACCCCUACGGCAGGCAGCAGGGGGGAAUAUUGCACAAGGGGGGCAAGCCAGAUGCAGCCAUGCCGCGUGUAUGAAGAAGGCCUUCGGGUUGUAAAGUACUUUCAGCGAGGAGGCGUUACUCGCAGAAGAAGCAUCGGAUAACUACGUGCCAGAAGCCGCGGUAAUUC
rnacentral:rRNA from 1 species